UACGUAGGGUGCGAGCGUUAAUCGGAAUUACUGGGCGUAAAGCGUGCGCAGGCGGUUUGUUAAGACAGAUGUGAAAUCCCCGGGCUUAACCUGGGAACUGCAUUUGUGACUGGCAAGCUAGGGUAUGGCAGAGGGGGGUAGAAUUCCACGUGUAGCAGUGAAAUGCGUAGAGAUGUGGAGGAAUACCGAUGGCGAAGGCAGCCCCCUGGGCCAAUACUGACGCUCAUGCACGAAAGCGUGGGGAGCAAACAGG
rnacentral:rRNA from 1 species